CCUCGCGCAGCUCCUCCCUGUGCUCAGCACCGGAGAGGUCCCACGGCGGCCCAGCCCCGGGCGGAGGCAGGGCUUGGGGCCCUCGUGGCCGCGCAUCCGGAAGCGCCCCGGAAUCCGCAGAGCCUGCAGUCCCAGCCGCCAACCUUUCACCUCAAAUCUUCAGACUCCUGCUGCCGUCAUGCCGAAACAUGAAUUCACUGUGGAUAUGACCUGCGAGGGCUGUUCUAAUGCAGUCACCAGAGUCCUCAACAAGCUGGGUGGGGUCCAGUUUGAGAUCGACCUGCCCAACAAGAAGGUGUGCAUCGAUUCAGAGCAUAGUGUGGACACCCUGCUGGAGACCCUGAAGAAAACGGGGAAGACCAUCACCUACCUGGGAGCCAAGUAGCUGCAAGCAGCAGCCUCUGGCCGGCAGGAUGGACCCAAGGGGGCAGGUCCUGCAUUUUAUCCACAGGUCCAUAGAGCUGCCUCAAAGCUUGUAAAAAGUAAAAGAUAACAAGGUCAUUCCAUGAAUAAAGUAUACUUUUUAAAAAGAAGACGAUCAAGGACACAAAGUAAUACCCAAUGAAAUUGCGAGUUGGCUGCGGGAAGAGUGGGUGGAGGGGAGGGAGGGAAAUAAUGUGAUUAUUGUAACCAAGGAAUAAUGUUAUAAAUUGACUAAAUAAACUUAUUCAAAUAGAAAAAAAAUAGAAUAAGAAAAAAAAUCAGCAAAACUGAUCAAUACAUUGAAAAAAAUCUACAAUUAUAUGUGAUGUUCCACAUCCAUAGACUGCCCAUCUCUACAAAGUGGGGGAAGUUAUAGUCUCAUAUAUCUCUAAUUUGGGACCAUGCUUGUUCUUUGUAAUUUUAUAACACUCACUUUCAGUUGUUUUGUGAUUAUUAUUUUCUUUUGUGGUAUAUUUUUUACUUUAUUUAACACUUUAUCAGUUCAGUUAAAUCUUUCCAUGCUUCUUUUUUUAUUCGUCAUAGUCAUCAUUUUUUACAACAUAGAAAUAUUCCAUUAAUUCACAUACCAUAAUUUGUUUAAUGUUUUCCCAUUCAUUGGACAUCUAAUUUGUUUCCAGUUCCUUACAAUCACAAAAAGUUCUGUUAUAAAUAUUUUGAUAUAUAUGGGAAUUUUCUUUUUAUCAGUGACCUCUGAGGUAUUUGCCUAGAUGGGGAAUCUUUAGGUCUUUAUCACUUUAUUUGUAUAAUUCCAAAAUAGUUGCAUUAAAUCAUAGUUCCACCAA